rnacentral:rRNA from 1 species
CCCUUAGAUGUUCUGGGCCGCACGCGCGCUACACUGAUGCAUUCAACGAGUGUACCUUGGCCGAGAGGCCUGGGCAAUCUUUUGAACGUGCAUCGUGAUAGGGAUAGAUUAUUGCAAUUAUUAAUCUUGAACGAGGAAUUCCUAGUAAACGCAGAUCAUCAAUCUGCAUUGAUUACGUCCCUGCCCUUUGUACACACCGCCCGUCGCUCCUACCGAUUGGGUGUGCUGGUGAAAUGUUCGGAUCGGCCGUUUGUCGCGGUUUCCGCGUCAUGUGGCUGAGAAGUUCAUUAAACCCUCCCACCUAGAGGAAGGAGAAGUCGUAACA